GGCGACGAUGAAGAGCAGGUAUGUGUCUACAGCUAAGCCUUUUUCUCUUUCUCUGAUUCGUCUCUAGGUCAAUGCUCAUGUACAGAUCCCUGGACAAAUAUGGACGUACUUUUGAUUUAAAAAUGAGAUCAUGUAACAUAUUCAGUAUUUGGAUAUAACCGUGAAUUUCAGUCUGACUGUGAGUACUUGGAUUAUCUAUGUUACAAUAGUAUAGUCUGAGCACUUGGAUUUUUUUUCACCUGUUCAACGUUGAAUUUUAGUACCCUGAAUUAACGUAACAAAUAAUUCUUUCAAUAUCAGGGGCAGCAAGAUAUAGGUACUGUACCCAACUUUUUCUCACGAUAUUUUACAUUAUUGCUUUUGACCCAUGGCGUAAAAUCUGUCUUGAUAAAUGUCGCGCAGGUGGUGUUGCUUCCUCUAUUUUUUGUCAUCUUAUUAUGAUGAUGUCGUUUCCCCUCUGUUGACCUAUUGCCAAACUAUACCAUACAUUAGUUUGAAAGAAGGAAUUGCAAAAAAAAAGGUUAUCUGUUUUAGUUUUCCCAGGGGUGUAUUCAGUGCACUUGCAGUUGGGGUUGAGCCAAACUAAUCUUAGAUCAGUUCUGCAUCAAUUCUUAUAUUGUCCCCAAAAUUAUGGAACUAUAUAUGUUUUAUCAUAGGUUUACUUAUCAGUGUUGCAGAUAUUUUUGGUAAUAUGGAGCUCAAGGAAGGUGUCAAAUCUCAUAUACUGGCUACUCAUAUCACACCGUUGACAUGCUUAGAAGGAAGACCAUUGCACCUCUCAAAGGAAACAGAACUAGAUAUACUGUAGUGAGGAUAUAAUAAACAUGUGUGUAAUAAGGGAAAAUGUGAGGUCAAGAAGAACAUGGAUCUCUCUAAUUCAGACCUUCCAGUGAUGGUUGAACAUAUAUAUAUCCCUCUGCAAGCAUUUCUAUGAUCCUGCCACUAGAGCAGUUGCCUUCAAGUACGAAGCUCAUGGUUGUUGUACUAAAGGAAACUGAUGCUUUGAAAAAGAACAAGGAAAAACAUAUGUGUGAAAAUGAUGAAGUUGAUCAUAGCAAGUGGACAGAGGUGCCCAGAGCUAACCUUAUAGCAACUAUUCAUGUUAUUUGCUAGCCGAGGAGGAUUCGCCAGGGUGGCAGCAAACUGGUAUGCACUUUCUUCGGUAAUAUUGAUUAACAUGAACAUUGGUCGUCAAACUAAUAUUUUAUUUUCUCAUUGUUAAAUUAUGUAGGUGUAUCAUUGCAAAAUGAGCAUUUGAGUAUGAGGAACAUCCCAGAAAAUCCAUGGCAAGAUCAACUCUCGGUUUGG